GUGGGGAAUAUUGGACAAUGGGCGAAAGCCUGAUCCAGCCAUGCCGCGUGUGUGAAGAAGGUCUUCGGAUUGUAAAGCACUUUAAGUUGGGAGGAAGGGCAGUAAGUUAAUACCUUGCUGUUUUGACGUUACCGACAGAAUAAGCACCGGCUAACUUCGUGCCAGCAGCCGCGGUAAUACGAAGGGUGCAAGCGUUAAUCGGAAUUACUGGGCGUAAAGCGCGCGUAGGUGGUUGUGUAAGUUGGAGGUGAAAUCCCCGGGCUCAACCUGGGAACUGCCUCCAAAACUGCAUGACUAGAGUACGGUAGAGGGUAGUGGAAUUUCCUGUGUAUCGGUGAAAUGCGUAGAUAUAGGAAGGAACACCAGUGGCGAAGGCGACUACCUGGACUGAUACUGACACUGAGGUGCGAAAGCGUGGGGAGCAAACAGGAUUAGAUACCCUAGUAGUCC
rnacentral:rRNA from 1 species